rnacentral:lncRNA from 1 species
AAUGGUAGCAUUGAUCAUUUCCUCUGGAAUACAGGUAGAUCUAAUUAGAAAUUAAUCAAAAUGAUUAACGUCUGCAUUUUUUUUCAGCCAAUGAGUCACUUUAAAAGAUGUCAAUGGAAAGUCCCAGGAGACCAUCUUAGCUCCAAAAGAAAAUAUCCCCACUCGAUGCUAUUUUGCUGGUUGAAGGGAGAAGAUUUGUCCUUCUCUUAAGCCAACUACUAAGGGAAUUCCUUAAUCCCCU